rnacentral:rRNA from 1 species
CAGCCGCCGCGGUAAUACGAAGGGGGCUAGCGUUGUUCGGAUUUACUGGGCGUAAAGCGCACGUAGGCGGAUCGAUCAGUUAGGGGUGAAAUCCCAGAGCUCAACUCUGGAACUGCCUUUGAUACUGUCGAUCUGGAGUAUGGAAGAGGUGAGUGGAAUUCCGAGUGUAGAGGUAAAAUUCGUAGAUAUUCGGAGGAACACCAGUGGCGAAGGCGGCUCACUGGUCCAUUACUGACGCUGAGGUGCGAAAGCGUGGGGAGCAAACAGGAUUAGAUACCCGUGUAGUCCCUGUCUCUUAUAC